rnacentral:rRNA from 1 species
CGGGGUGAGUAAUGUCUGGGAAACUGCCUGAUGGAGGGGGAUAACUGCUGGAAACGGUAGCUAAUACCGCAUAACGUCGCAAGACCAAAGAGGGGGACCUUCGGGCCUCUUGCCAUCGGAUGUGCCCAGAUGGGAUUAGCUAGUAGGUGGGGUAACGGCUCACCUAGGCGACGAUCCCUAGCUAGUCUGAGAGGAUGACCAGCCACACUGGAACUGAGACACGGUCCAG